rnacentral:tRNA from 1 species
GCCCUCGUAGUUUAAAGGAUAAAACGUGGGCUUCCGGAGCCUAAGCUAUGGGUUCGAUUCCCAUCGGGGGCACAA